GCUGCGAAUGUCAGAGGAUCAUGUUCCUCCCGAACUGAACAAGAUGACACAGAAAGACAUUACUUUUGUGGCUGAUUUUCUCACGGAGCACUUCAAUGAAGCCCCAGAGCUCUACAGCCGUAAAGGGAAAUACUUCAAUGUGGAAAGAG